rnacentral:rRNA from 1 species
GAUUAACGCUGGCGGCGUGCCUAACACAUGCAAGUCGAACGAGGUAGCAAUACCUAGUGGCAGACGGGUGAGUAACGCGUGGUCAACCUACCGUUGAGUGGGGGAUAACUAGCCGAAAGGUUAGCUAAUACCGCAUACGUCUCCGAGGGGCAUCCCUUGGCGAUAAAAGGAGCAAUCCGCUCGAUGACGGGACCGCGUCCCAUUAGCUAGAUGGUGGGGUAACGGCCUACCAUGGCACCGAGGGUAGCUGGUUUGAGAGAGCGACCAGCCACACUGGGACUGAGAAACGGCCCAGACUCCUACGGGAGGCAGCAGUGAGGAAUUUUCCGCAAUGGCGCAAGCCUGACGGAGCGACGCCGCGUGUGGGAAGAAGGCC